rnacentral:lncRNA from 1 species
GGUCCGGUCUGGGCCGGGUUUGACCGGGCCGGUCCGUGCCGGUCCCGGGUCAACCCGGCCCGGUUGACACCUCUAGUUCCAAUAGAAUGUUGUACAUUUUUGCCUUUUGACAACCCCUUAUCCAUCACCCUGCUUCCUGUAAUGUCAGCCUUUUGUUUGUUAUCCUCCGCUAUCCCAGCAGUUUUAACCACCUCAUCAUUAUGCUUGCCUUUUGGUAUCCAUUUCCAGUUAUCUCUUUGCAAUUACUUAUUUUCCCCUGUUACCUUUGAAUGAUUCUGUAUUAACUCUUCACUUCCCUGCAUCUUCUUAUACCAGCAAUCAUCAGAGUUAUGGCCAAACCUUACACAGUCACAACAGUAUUUUGGCUUCUAUUCACAUACAAUCUGUUGAGUGAUAACUCCCCUCUUAGUAUGUAGUUCAAAACUAUCUGGCAAAGGUUGAGAUAUGUCUGUUUCCACCAAUACUCUUGCAUAAGAUAUCUUCUCCAAUUCAGCAGUAAAUCUCUCAGUGUACAUAGGCUUCCCAACCACACUAGCUAGCUAACUAAGGGCUUCAGUUGACCAAAAACCCAAAGGCAAGCCAGGGAAGGUAAUCCACAGAGGAAUUACACUCACACUACCUGGAUCAAAUCUAAAGUCCAUUCUCCACUGUUGUAGCACAAAUGGCUUGUUAUGGAAAGUGUAAGGACAUGCCUGAAGGACAAGGUCCCUGUCUUCACUAUUAUUGAAUCUGAAAAUAUAGUAUCCAUCCUCAUGAUGCAGCACUUGAGGUUUUUCAACAAAAUCCCAUACAUUUGUGAUGUAAUUAUCCAUUGCUCGCUCAUCGGUUAUUCUCCAAGCACAAAUCCUAUCAAUGCAUUGCUCCAGUAUGCCUCUUGUUCCUUUGUAUCCUCGUAUUCAAUUUGUACCACAAAUGUACCAUCCCUCAUAGAAGGUGGAACAUAGCACAUCGGCUUCCCUUUUUUAGAGCUUCGAUUCAUCUACAUGGCUUCCCUCUUACCUUCAAAAUCCUUAGAAUCUCCACAAACCUGGCAGAUCUGAUCUAUCUUUGCUUGUGCUGAAAAUUGAAGUCGUCGAUGGACUUGUUGUGCUUCGGCAUUUUCUGUCACCAAAUUUCCUUCCUCGCCUUCGUCAAUU